GUCUUCUGAGGGGAGGAGACCCUGCUCUCCCUGGCAGCAAGCCUCUUCUGUCCUUCCAGAUCAGC
ensembl:miRNA